rnacentral:rRNA from 1 species
UACGUAGGGUGCAAGCGUUAAUCGGAAUUACUGGGCGUAAAGCGUGCGCAGGCGGUUUUGUAAGACAGGCGUGAAAUCCCCGGGCUCAACCUGGGAAUUGCGCUAGUGACUGCAAAGCUGGAGUGCGGCAGAGGGGGAUGGAAUUCCGCGUGUAGCAGUGAAAUGCGUAGAUAUGCGGAGGAACACCAAUGGCGAAGGCAAUCCCCUGGGCCUGUACUGACGCUCAUGCACGAAAGCGUGGGGAGCAAACAGG